rnacentral:rRNA from 1 species
UAGGGAUACCCGCUGAACUUAAGCAUAUCAAUAAGCGGAGGAAAAGAAACCAACAGGGAUUGCCUCAGUAACGGCGAGUGAAGCGGCAAGAGCUCAAAUUUGAAAGCUGGCUCCUUCGGGGUCCGCAUUGUAAUUUGCAGAGGAUGCUUCGGGAGCGGCCCCCAUCUAAGUGCCCUGGAACGGGCUGUCAUAGAGGGUGAGAAUCCCGUCUGGGAUGGGGUGCCCGCGCCCGUGUGAAGCUCCUUCGACGAGUCGAGUUGUUUGGGAAUGCAGCUCUAAAUGGGUGGUAAAUUUCAUCUAAAGCUAAAUAUUGGCCGGAGACCGAUAGCGCACAAGUAGAGUGAUCGAAAGAUGAAAAGCACUUUGAAAAGAGAGUUAAAAAGCACGUGAAAUUGUUGAAAGGGAAGCGCUUGCGACCAGACUCGCUCGCGGGGUUCAGCCGGCUCUCGGGCCUGGUGUACUUCCCCGUGGGCGGGCCAGCGUCGGUUUGGGCGGUCGGUCAAAGGCCCUUGGAAUGUAACGCCUCUCGGGGCGUCUUAUAGCCAAGGGUGCCAUGCGGCCAGCCCGGACCGAGGAACGCGCUUCGGCUCGGACGCUGGCAUAAUGGUCGUAAGCGACC